rnacentral:rRNA from 1 species
AGCAGCCGCGGUAAUUCCAGCUCCAAUAGCGUAUAUUAAAGUUGUUGCAGUUAAAAAGCUCGUAGUUGAAUUUCGGGGUUAGUAGGUUGGUCAUGCCUCUGGUAUGUACUGGUCUCACUGAUUCCUCCUUCCUUAUGAACCGUAAUGCCAUUAAUUUGGUGUUGCGGGAAAUUUGGACUGUUACUUUGAAAAAAUUAGAGUGUUUAAAGCAAGCUAACGCUUGAAUACAUUAGCAUGGAAUAAUGAAAUAGGACGUUCGAUCUUAUUUUGUUGGUUUCUAGGAUUGACGUAAUGAUUAAUAGGGAUAGUUGGGGGCAUUAGUAUUCAAUUGUCAGAGGUGAAAUUCUUGGAUUUAUUGAAGACUAACUACUGCGAAAGCAUUUGCCAAGGAUGUUUUCAUUAAUCAAGAACGAAAGUUAGGGAUCGAAGACGAUCAGAUACCGUCGUAGU